UUUUACGCCUAUAGUUAUUCCUAGGCUUUUUCUUCUUUGUUUCAGCUUUAGGAAUAUCAAUACUACGUGUUUCUAGUGCUUUCCUAAGUUCUGUGUUUUCUAGUUUUAAAGAACUACAAGAAGAACAAUUUGAACAUGUAUCAAUAGAAGAAGCUUUAUUCAAUUCCUUUAUUUUAUUUUUAAAAACAGCAAUGUCAUUUUCCAAAAAUUUGUUUUCUUUUUCUAAAACUUCAAUUUUGUUUUUAAGAACACCAUUUUCAUUAGUCAAU
rnacentral:lncRNA from 1 species